UCCCUGCUGACGAGUCCAUAAAGGACGAAACGCCGCGUACAGGGA
rnacentral:hammerhead_ribozyme from 1 species